AAUCAGCUUCAAUUUUCUUUGUUCUCACCCACCAUCUGCUUUGCAAACAUGUCGACUGUUAUUAUUUACUCAUUUCUCACUACUACAAUGUUCUUAAAAGGUAUUAAUUGUGCCGAUUCGAUCUCACAGAAGCCAGUUACAACGAUACAAUUUGAAAGAGAUUCAGUAACCAUUCAUUUCAGAUAUUCGACCACAGAUAGCACGUAUACUUUGCAACUGUACCGUCAGGACCCAGGGAAAUCUCCAACAUUCUUAAUCUACGUUACCAGCUAUGGCAGUACCAUCAAAGGAGACGGGGUGUCGGAUCGAUUUUUUGCAUCUUUGGACAAGUCAAAAAAUGAAGGGAAUUUCACCAUCAAUGAGCUGCAGCUGUCUGACAGCGCAGUAUAUUACUGCGGACUGAGAGACACAGUGACAGGAACCAGGCUGAGCCUCGUACAAUAA